GCGUGAAGGAUGAAGGUCUUCGGAUUGUAAACUUCUUUGAUUAGGGAAGAAUUUUUGACCUACCUAAAGAACAAGUCACGGCUAACUACGUGCCAGCAGCCGCGGUAAUACGUAGGUGACAAGCGUUAUCCGGAUUUACUGGGUGUAAAGGGCGUGUAGGCGGUUUUGCAAGUCAGAUGUGAAAUUCCCAGGCUUAACCUGGGCGCUGCAUCUGAAACUGCAAGACUUGAGUACUGGAGAGGAUAGUGGAAUUCCUAGUGUAGCGGUAAAAUGCGC
rnacentral:rRNA from 1 species